rnacentral:lncRNA from 1 species
CUUAAAAAUUAAUCAAAGUCCAGAAAAAUGUUUUAUACUAAACUCUAAAAGAAGGUCAGAUUCAUGUUUUGACAGCUGAAUAAAAAUCAGAUAAAGCCAAAUUGUUUAUUAGCUCCAAUAUGCCCUCAGCUGUCAAAAUAGUCCCAACAGGGAGAGGAAAGUAAAAAUGCAAGCUCAUCAAACAGGGUCAUCCUAACAAAUGAAGACCGCUGGACCCAUUAAAUCUGUUAAACAUUUUAUUCCAUGAAAGUAAAAAUACCUCUGUAAGCAAAACAUCAUAUCCCCCUCAUCAGUCUCUUCUCUGACCAUCUUGGCUCCUGA